rnacentral:tRNA from 5 species
GCCCCCGUAGCUUAAUGGAUAAAGUACUGGUCUUCGGAACCAGCAAUGGAGGUUCGAUUCCUCUCGGGGGCGCAA